UAUAUAUAUAGAUAUAUAUAUAUAUAUAGUGUAAACCUGACUACUGACAGUAUCCUUAUUGGUUCAAGCCUUGGCAAGGUGCAACUCUAGGUGUCACAGGCUUCACUCCAUCAUAAAUUGAACUUUUAGCAAUGGGAAGAUAAUCUUGCUGGUGCUGGUAGAUUCUUGCUACAAUAUUCACAUGUCUGUAUUUGUAACAGCAACCCCAAAACAUAGACAAUCCAUCCAUGACAACAUGGGGAAAAUGUUAUAUUGCAUUUAUAACUUUUUUUUUCUUUUUUGCUGUAUUGUAUUGUAUGUGGAAAACUUGAGUCUUAGAUACUAUCUUCAUCUUUACACUACCUAUGAUCAUAACAUGCAGCCCCUCUACAUGGUCCUUUUGGCAAAGUAUUAAAUACUAUAACCCUGGACUGACCAAUGGCUUGUGAGAAAGUUUGAUUCAUGGAAUCUGUAUAAAACACAUGAACAUGCAUAUAUAAUUAUAUAUAUAUAUAAUUUUCUGAAGCAUUGUCAUAUAAAUGUUUUUAAUUACUUUUUUCAAAGCUAAAAACAUUGCAUGUUAUUAAAAAUUAAUAAUACAAGUCAAUGGUUUGCACUUUUACUUGGUAUUUCAAUAUUUUGAGAAUAGGAGCCCUUCUUCAGGAAAUUUACAGAAGAAACGUUUUGUUAGUUGACUUCUCUGUUCUGUAGUGUGUAUCUGUGAAAAGUUGUUUUGUGUUGCAACAGUAGCAAAUAUAGCAACUCAAAACAACCCUUCAUACAUAUAUACAGCGGAACAGAGAAGUUAGUUAAUAAAACAAUAUUAUUUAUUAAAAGGAAAGGAACAUUAUUUUUUCUUAUGCCCAUUCAAUUUUUUCUAAUUGGAGGAUGGGGUUUAAAAGAAGUCUUGGCUAUAGAUAUUUUAAAUGUUCAAAAGAAAGUUUUAAUUUGAUCUAAACAUUUAACCAACGUUGUAAACAUGUGACAAAAAUUAUGUCAUUAACUGUUCGAGUGGAUGUUGUUAAUUCCCAAAAUGCAAGUACCCUUUUUUUGCAACUCCAUGGUUUCAGGUUCAGUCCCACAAUAUAGAUCAUCAGCCAAGCGUCUUCUGUUAUUAUCCUGGACCGACCAAUACAAUGUGACUGAAUUUAAUAGAAGGAAACUGUGUGGAAGCCCAUCAUAUAUAUAUAUCAUAUAUAUUUAUAUAUAUAUAUAUAUAUAUAUAUAUAUAUAUAUAUAUAUAUAUAAUAUGUAUGUAUGUGUCUGUCCCCUUCUCCACUUGACAACCAGCGUUGGUUUGUUUACGUCCAUGUAGCUUAUUGGUUCAGCAAAAGAGACUGAUAGGAUAACUAUCAGACUUUAAGAAAAAUACUGGGGUCAUUUUGUUUGAUUAAACUCUUCAAGGUGGUACCCCAGCAUGGUUGCAGUCCAGUUGACUGAAACAAGUGAAUGACAAAGAUAUUAUCGAUAUUUUUAUCUGGAUUCUACAUGGCAUUGUAAAUACCUUAGCAGAAAUAGUUCUGUUAUGUCAUUGAAAUACAUCCACAAGCUUCAUUGAGAAAGUUAAAAUCUCCACAUAUUGGAUGUAGUUUCCAAAGGCUGAAUAAAGUUAUUUCUGCCAUGAAAUACACGGAGUUAUCCCCCUUUUUACUUAAAAUCUUAAUUUGCUUCUGUUUGUUUUUCUGUCUUUCUUUACUCAACUGAAUCCUUCAUGAAUCAGUCUUUCACAAAGUACUAUUUAAAACCAGUGCCUAUUCACAAAGAAAGACCCUUGCUUACAGAUUUUGCUAUACCUAUAUAAAGUAUUAUAAUUAUCUACAAACACACAUAUGCACUUAAUUCUUCAUAGAUGUUGAUCUCACACACACAUACAUGCUUGCUCUUAUUUUCUAUUAAUCCUUUGCCUGUUCCUAAGCAUUUUCAUAUGGUUAUUCUAAACGUCCAUGAUUGUUUUUAAACUUUCAAUUAUUCUAUGUCUCAUACGUUCUGGGUAGUAUAAAGCUUUCCUUUCAUAAGUCUAAACAUUGAGAAUGUGUACCAUAUAUGACACAUGGACACCGGAGAAAUAAAUCCUGUGUAUCCCAUGUUAUACAAAGGACAAGCAAAGGGUUAAUUUAGUAUCAGAGUCCUCAAGUUUAUUUACCCAGUUACACACUUAUUUCUUCAAGUCAUCCAUUUUAUUUACUUAUUAUGGGUUCAUUGAAUUUUAACUACUAUGAAAACCUUUCUUUCUUGGUCUACUUUAUGCAAUAAGCUUUUAGUUACAGAACUGCACAGCUGUCUGUCAGUUAAUACAGUUAUGGGGUUUGUUUGUAUUUCAUAACAGGGAAAUAACAUUCUAAUUUGAUAAUUAUAUUUUUCUUAUUUUUCAUUGUUAUCAUUGUAUUUUAGGGGAAAAAAAAUUUUUUUUUUGUAAAGUUGGAAAUUAUCAAAAUCAAAAUUCUAUUUUAUAUCUAAAUUUAUAAUAUACGAUAUGCAUAGAAUAUGUGUGGAAUUUUCUAUGAUGCAUAGAAUAUGUGUGACAAAAUUGCUUUUUGGAUAUCAAGGUAUUGUAAAAAAAAAAAAAAAAAUUAAAUUGUUGAAAGACUAAUGUUUCUCUUUGAGUAUUUUUCCCUCUCUACAGGAAUAAUUCCAUUCAA